rnacentral:rRNA from 1 species
CCAGAGAACUUUCCAGAGAUGGAUUGGUGCCUUCGGGAACUCUGAGACAGGUGCUGCAUGGCUGUCGUCAGCUCGUGUUGUGAAAUGUUGGGUUAAGUCCCGCAACGAGCGCAACCCUUAUCCUUUGUUGCCAGCGGUUAGGCCGGGAACUCAAAGGAGACUGCCAGUGAUAAACUGGAGGAAGGUGGGAUGACGUCAAGUCAUCAUGGCCCUUACGAGUAGGGCUACACACGUGCUACAAUGGCGCAUACAAAGAGAAGCGACCUCGCGAGAGCAAGCGGACCUCAUAAAGUGCGUCGUAGUCCGGAUUGGAGUCUGCAACUCGACUCCAUGAAGUCGGAAUCGCUAGUAAUCGUGGAUCAGAAUGCCACGGUGAAUACGUUCCCGGGCCUUGUACACACCGCCCGUCACACCAUGGGAGUGGGUUGCAAAAGAAGUAGGUAGCUUAACCUUCGGGAGGGCGCUUACCACUUUGUGAUUCAUGACUGGGGUGAAGUCGUAACAAGGUAAGCGUAGUGCU